UUAAUUGAAGAGUUUGAUCAUGGCUCAGAUUGAACGCUGGCGGCAGGCCUAACACAUGCAAGUCGAGCGGCAGCACAGAGGAACUUGUUCCUUGGGUGGCGAGCGGCGGACGGGUGAGUAAUGCCUGGGAAAUUGCCCGGUAGAGGGGGGAUAACCAUUGGAAACGAUGGCUAAUACCGCAUAACCUCGCAAGAGCAAAGCAGGGGACCUUCGGGCCUUGCGCUACCGGAUAUGCCCAGGUGGGAUUAGCUAGUUGGUGAGGUAAGGGCUCACCAAGGCGACGAUCCCUAGCU
rnacentral:rRNA from 1 species